rnacentral:lncRNA from 1 species
GCUUACAGGAACUGAUCCUUCCCAAAGUCAAUGAGUAUAUAGCUUGAGAGAAACAUGACUUUAUCGCCUGUAUUGACAUGAAACAUAUGCUAUGAUGGUACCUUGAAGGAUCAACACCCAGAGUGGUGGCUGCUAAUGUAUACAUGGCCUGUUUGGAAGAAUAAGGACAACUUAGCAAGCAGCAGCGCAUCAAACCCAUUGUUUUCCUGAGUAUCUUGUUAGUAUAGUAUACAACACAAACUAAGCAACCACAAACCAACAAUUCAAGAAUCCCCACCCAAAACCAAAGCCCCCACUUGAAAGAAUCCGAAAAGACUAACUCAAAUUUACCUACACUAGUGAAUUAUUAGACUAAUCAAAGAGAAUGGAGAGUACUUCAUGGAAAGAAAUCCUGUGGCCAUCUUCUUCAGUAUCAACAAGCACGCCAUCACAAUAAAAAAGAAGAGCUGAUGGAAGAACAGAAGAUGAAGCUAAGCAAGUGAGCCCAUUUGAACUGCUUCUCUUGCUCACUGCUUUUGUUCUUGCUGUCUUGUAACUGACACAUGCUUGUGCCCAGGAGGGAAAGAAGAUAAGUAGUUCCUUUCAUGGGAUCUGAAGCUGCAAAUGGAGGAAGUCUUAGUUUGAGUUGUUGAGGAAGGAGUAGUGGCAGUAGUAGAAGAAAAUAGCCAGGGAAAGAGAGAUUGUAGUUGAUGAUGAUGCCAUUUACCUUUCUUUUUCUUUGCAAAACAGUUUGUCCUUUUAACGGUUUCUGGUACCGAACUUACC